UCCGCCGCCGCCUCCCGGCCCCGCCGCCACCGCCGCCGCCGCCGCCGCUGCCGCCGGGCAGGUUUAUGUUUCCUAACAAGAUUAUGGCUGAAUUAGGAGUUCUUUCAGAAACAAGAGAACGCCUUCACCUAAGAAACAAUGUAAGAAAUUGGUUGUAAUACUAGAGCCUUGGAGAAUUUAGUCACACGGGGGAAGUAUUCUCCCCAGGGAUCUUGAACGUAUUGCCGAAGGAGAGAGUGAGCUCUCCGUCAGACUGGGCAUAACAUCUCUGCCCCCAGUAAAAGUCAGGUCACAUCCCCUGAGCACCAAGGGACACUCCUCUUCUUGAAAUACACCUUCCUUCUAUAUGAUCAAGGGGGCAGAGGGUUCAGCCUUAGCUCUAAUUAUCUAAAGGGUUUCUGUGCUCGCAUAUUUGGAUAGUGUAAAAUGAAGUUCAUCCAAACAGGGAACCAAGACAUCUCUUGUAGUUUUUUAGAGUCGGAAAAUGCUUUUUUUUUUUUUUUACAUCAGAUUUGUCCCUGAAUGUUUUCAAGAACUUUAGUAACAAAGAAAAACAGCAAACAUCUGAUUUUUGCCAGUGAAAUUUAAGACAUGUUGUAAAACUAGGAAUUAAAAAUCUUUAAAUUAAAUUUUGAAACUUGGAGUUAACUUGGAGUUAAACUAUUGAAUACAUUUUUAGAAUGCUACUUGCAUAAAAGGAUACUCUCACGUGAUAAGGGUGGCCUUAUAGGAUAAUCUCAGAGCCAAAGACGAAAGAAAAGGAAUCUUCCCUGCUUUAUAACAGUGUGUUUUAAUGUGUAGCCUUCAAUUCCCUAAUUCAAAAAUCAUACAUUUUGAAGACAGCAAGAGACUCUUGAGCUCCCACUCGGGCUGAUGGUUGCUACUAACUCCCACUCGUCCCAUGAAAUCUUCCAGGGCUGAUUAGCCUCGUGUUUUCUCAACCUCAGAAUAUCUCACCUCUCAGUUCCAACCUCUGAACCUUAAAUUAGAGCAAAUACCAAACUGCCUGGCCAAGACUGCAGCCCCUCAGUCUCAGCAGAAUCGAGAAGCAAAAUCAAGAAGCAACAUGUCAUCUAAAGUGACAAGAAGCUCUUCACAGUACAUACUGAUUCUACUCACGAAUACACGUAUGUUUUGUUACAGAAACAGAAUUGUGUUUGACUAUGGGAUCAAUUGCUGCAUCAAGGCUGGCUUUAGUACACUAUAUAAACGUAUAAGUAUAUGGAUGAUAUAUAUCAGUCUGUAAGUAAUAUACUAUAUAAGCUUUCAAAAAUUAUAAAGUUCAAAACACAUUUAAAAAAAAACAUAUUUGGCCUGUAGGGUCUCAGAUAAUGGAUUAUGGACCUGCCUUCCUAGUAAAUUAAACUCACCAGAUUUCCUUUGAAGUAAUCCAGCAAAGGACAAUUUAUCUACAAUAAAAAUCCACUAAUUUGAAAUGUAUAAUUUGAUGAGCUUUGAGAAAUUUGUGAACAAGUACCGCAAUCAUGUAUAGAACAUCUCCAUCUGUUCAGAAAAUUUCCUUGGACCCCCCUUGGACCCCUUUCUAGUCAAUUCUUUCCCCAACUCCCAGAC